rnacentral:rRNA from 1 species
GACGAACGCUGGCGGCGUGCUUAACACAUGCAAGUCGAACGGAAAGGCCCUGCUUGCAGGGUACUCGAGUGGCGAACGGGUGAGUAACACGUGGGUGAUCUGCCCUGCACUUCGGGAUAAGCCUGGGAAACUGGGUCUAAUACCGGAUAGGAGCCAUUUUUAGUGUGAUGGUUGGAAAGUUUUUUCGGUGUAGGAUGAGCUCGCGGCCUAUCAGCUUGUUGGUGGGGUAAUGGCCUACCAAGGCGGCGACGGGUAGCCGGCCUGAGAGGGUGGACGGCCACAUUGGGACUGAGAUACGGCCCAGACUCCUACGGGAGGCAGCAGUGGGGAAUAUUGCACAAUGGGCGCAAGCCUGAUGCAGCGACGCCGCGUGUGGGAUGACGGCCUUCGGGUUGUAAACGCCUUUCGCUAGGGACGAAGCUUUUUGUGACGGUACCUAGAUAAGAAGCACCGGCUAACUACGUG